UACGUAGGUGGCGAGCGUUGUCCGGAUUUACUGGGCGUAAAGAGCGCGCAGGCGGUCGUUCAAGUCGGAUGUGAAAGCCCCCGGCUCAACUGGGGAGGGUCAUUCGAUACUGAUCGACUCGAAGGCAGGAGAGGGAAGCGGAAUUCCCGGUGUAGUGGUGAAAUGCGUAGAUAUCUAUCGGAACGCCAAAGGUGAAGACAGGCCGCUGGGCUUGUACUGACGCUGAGGAACGAAAGCGUGGGGAGCAAACGGG
rnacentral:rRNA from 1 species